CCUUCCUCAUGGCUUAGGUGGUGACCUUCUUCUUCUUGUGUGUCUUGAACCAGGAGCUCAACAACCUCGUGGCCUGCGCUUCUUAAACCGGCUUCUACACACAAGAACCUUCCCAUUGCUCCACACAAUGGUUGGUCUUCCGCUUGUAUGUCUUGAACCAGGAGCUCAACAACAUCGUGGCCUGCGCUUCUUAAACCAGCUUCUACACACAAGUAUCUUCCCAUUGCUCCACACAAUGGUUCCAGUCUUCCUCUUGUCUUGGAUAGGUGGUGAGCAAAGAACACUUCUUGUGAACCUGAAACACCACUCAAACUCCAGCAAGGAUAAGACACAAGAGUAUUGGGAUCAAUCCUUGAUUAAUCAUCAAGUUUGAUUCCCAAUCUCACAAGCAUUGCAACAGAUUAAAACAAGUCAUUUUCAAGUUCUAUCUUUGCAAGCAAUCUCUCUAAGCACAAGCAUUUUCUUUUUCAGUUUAUGCAAGCUACUUAGGCAUUUUUUUUUUUUUUAAAGCUUCUUUACUCAGCAUUUAGACAUGAAUCUAAUGCUUCAAUGUAAGACAGCCACAAGACUAUAUGCAACAGCUUUCAAUUCGGUUUCAAUCCAUGUAUGCAAGCAGAUUCAAUUAAUCACAACAAGCAUCAUUAUGAACCAGAGAUAAGCAUAUUAACAUACCUAGUAAUCCUAGUAAUACUUUUAAAUUACUAGUCUUUUUAAAGCACUUACACAACUGCUAGUAAACUUAGUAUAACUAGUACGAUGAAAGGAUUACUAGGGAACCAAGCUCUUUAAGCAUCCUGGGACAGAUUCUAAAUUCAUUUUAUUUCAUUUAAUAAUCUUUUAAACAGUCCUCCGGUUUUCAAUCACAUCACAACAUCACAACCAGUCAACAACACAAGCUCAUUAUCAAGAUGGUUUAUAGAAUCGCUUACAACAAGGAACCAGGUUGAUUCCUUUUGCAUUUUGUGAAACCGG
rnacentral:lncRNA from 1 species